rnacentral:rRNA from 1 species
GCCCAGCCGUAAACUUUUAUUUACACUCAAUAUCGCCAGGGAAUUACGAGCAAAGCUUAAAACCCAAAGGACUUGACGGUACCCCAUAUCCCUCUAGAGGAGCCUGUUCUAUAAUCGAUAAUCCACGUUUAACCUCACCAUUUUUAGUUAAUCAGCCUGUAUACCUCCGUCGUCAGCUUACCACGUGAGCGCAAACUAGUGAGCUUAAUGUUCUUACACCAAAACGUCAGGUCAAGGUGCAGUAAAUGAAAUGGGAAGAGAUGGGCUACACUUUCUACUAUAGAAGAAACGAAAAACUACCUAUGAAACCUAGUUGGAAGGCGGAUUUAGCAGUAAAAAGGAAUCAGCAUGUCCAUUUUAACUCGGCACUGGGGUGUGUGACCCCCAUAAGAGGUCC